UUAUAGCUGAUCGAUCUUUCUCUCUCAACCCUAUUCUCCUGCAUUCACCCUAUAACCGCUGACAACCUAACAAAUCAAGUAAUAGUGAUCAAGCUUAAUAGGAACCUGAGCGUAGUUUUAUUUUAUACAGAGGGUGGUGGGUAUAUGGAACAAGUUGCCAGAGGAGGUAGUUGAGGCAAGUACUUUAAUAACAUUUCAUAGACAUUUGGAUAAGGUACAAGGAUAGGAAAGGUUUAGAGGGAUAUAGGGCAAAUGCUGGCAGGCGGGACUAGCAUAGAUGGGGCAUUUUGGUCAGCAUGGGCAAGUUGGGCCGAAGGGCCUGCGUCCAUGCUGUAUAACUCUAUAACGCUACAACUCUUUCUGUUUCACAUCCUGCAUACUGCAUGCCAUUCACAUGAGGAGGUGUGUGCCGGAAAGCAGGAUGGGAAGGUGUGAGGUUGGGCUCAAGUGGAAUCAUCCAAAUGGAAUAUAAGGUUUAAGGUUGUGGGUGCCCACACACUUUCACCUCAUCAUGUCAAGGAAAUAUUCCUCCAAUAGUUGGAUCAAUUAUCGCCUCAUAUGUGUGUAUAAUAUGCAAAACAAGGAAUUUCACUGUGACAUGUCACAUGUGAUAAUAAAGUAUCAAUCAAUCAAU